rnacentral:rRNA from 1 species
GAUGAACGCUAGCGGCAGGCCUAACACAUGCAAGUCGAGGGAGAGGUUACCUUCGGGUAACCAAAACCGGCGCACGGGUGCGUAACGCGUAUACAAUCUGCCUUUCACAUAGGGAUAGCCCGAAGAAAUUUGGAUUAAUACCUAAUGGUAUAUAAGAGCGGCAUCGUUUUUAUAUUAAAGCUACGGUGGUGAAAGAUGAGUAUGCGUUCUAUUAGCUAGUUGGAGAGGUAACGGCUCCCCAAGGCGACGAUAGAUAGGGGUUCUGAGAGGGAUGUCCCCCACACUGGUACUGAGAUACGGACCAGACUCCUACGGGAGGCAGCAGUGAGGAAUAUUGGACAAUGGUCGGAAGACUGAUCCAGCCAGGCCGCGUGCAGGAUGAAGGUCCUAUGGAUUGUAAACUGCUUUUGUAAGGGAAGAAUAAGGAGUACGUGUACUUUGAUGACGGUACCUUACGAAUAAGCAUCGGCUAACUCCGU